AUGGCGUUGAUGAUAGACACAAUUUAUGUGCUGGAAAUGAUCGCAUUUGUCAGGCCUCGGAGCUGAGACAUCAAGAUAGAGCGACUGAGGCCGAGACAUCAGGCUUCGAGGAUGCAAAUUCUGGUCCCGAGGCCAGCCUCGGUAUACAACACUGAAUAUAGAAUCAACAUGCACUCUAUACCCUACAAGAUUGAUAACAAAGACAUAUAUGUGUUUCAACAAGAAAUUGGUCAAUGUAUAUCUGAAUGGGGUAUUGUACAGUACGAUUGAUCAACCAAUGAUACGGGUUGUGUUCUGACAUUUAAAUCCAUGUUCCUCUUUGACCAAUGUUGUCAAAUAAAAACCUUGCUUUGAGCAUAACAUCCUCAAGGUGGUCUGAAAUUCUAUAUCUACAAGUUUUAUUAUCAAUAUACUAGUGUUCUGAAGUUGAUGUGUUUAUAAUCAAAUGUUUUCAUGUUUAUUCUACUUAAAACAUAAUAGAUGGAGACCAGCAGCGUGGCAGCAGGAGCAAAUUUUGGCCGUGAUGAGGCGUAUACCACCAUGAACAAUUCUGCAAUUGCAGUCACCACCACCACUGCUGCCACCACUAUCAGUGCUGCUGAUGCCACCACCACCAAGUCUGCUUCUGCCACUGCCAUCACCAUUGCCACCGCCACUAUAAAGACCACUCCUGACACAAAGCCCCCAAGUCCUCAACUGACCAGAUAUUGCAGCUGGAGAAGGAUAGACCAGGAACUUCAAAGCCAGGGCUUGUUGGUCUCCUACAAUAAGAAAAAUGCCAAGGGCCCAUCUAAUGAACUUGUAGAAUAUUUGGCCACAGUUGUAGAAAUGCAGAGACUAACAUACUGCCACAGGUGAGGCUUUGUCCGCAGUUCCGGAAAGACAAGCCAUGCCAAAAUCAACGACUGAAGGGUUUGGAGCGCCAGACAAAGAGCCUAGAAAUGUGAUUUAACCGUACUUCAAUCACAUGAACAGUAGCAGGAGCAAAAACAGCAGCAAACACACAGGAGAUGUAACGACUACAUUGACCAAUACCAACAACUACAGCAGCAU